rnacentral:rRNA from 1 species
UACGUAGGGUGCAAGCGUUGUCCGGAAUCAUUGGGCGUAAAGGGCGCGUAGGUGGCGGGACAAGCGUGCGGUGAAAGCUCGGGGCUCAACCCCGAGUCGGCCGUGCGAACUGUUUUGCUGGAGCACUGUAGAGGCAGGCGGAAUUCCGGGUGUAGCGGUGGAAUGCGUAGAGAUCCGGAAGAACACCGGUGGCGAAGGCAGCCUCCUGGGCCAGCACUGACGCUCAUGCACGAAAGCGUGGGGAGCAAACAGG